ACAUAAAAAAAGACCAAAGGCCAAUCCUGCCUUUGGUCCAGGGAAAUGGCUCUUUGCAGAGCCGUGCGCUAAAAGUUGGCAUUAAUGCAGGCGGUGUGCCUGACUCUUAAAAGAUAGACCACCGGCAGGGGAAUUCCAGCCG
rnacentral:sRNA from 1 species